GGCGAACGGGUGAGUAACACGUGGGUAAUCUGCCCUGCACUCUGGGAUAAGCCUGGGAAACUGGGUCUAAUACUGGAUAUGACCUUUCUCCUUAUGGGGUUUGGUGGAAAGUUUUCGGUGUAGGAUGAACCCGCGGCCUAUCAGCUUGUUGGUGGGGUGAUGGCCUACCAAGGCGACGACGGGUAGCCGGCCUGAGAGGGUGAUCGGCCACAUUGGGACUGAGAUACGGCCCAG
rnacentral:rRNA from 1 species